UACGAAGGGGGCUAGCGUUGUUCGGAAUCACUGGGCGUAAAGGGCGCGUAGGCGGCUUUUCAAGUCGGGGGGUGAAAGCCUGUGGCUCAACCAACAGAAUUGCCUUCGAUACUGUUAGGCUUGAGACCGGAAGAGGUGAGUGGAACUGCGAGUGUAGAGGUGAAAUUCGUAGAUAUUCGCAAGAACACCAGUGGCGAAGGCGGACUCACUGGUCCGGUUCUGACGCUGAGGCGCGAAAGCGUGGGGAGCAAACAGGG
rnacentral:rRNA from 1 species